GGUGGCUCAGUAGUAGAGUACUUGCCUUGCAUGCAUGAAACCUUGGGUUCGAUUCCUCAGCACCA
rnacentral:tRNA from 1 species